UAACACGUGAGUAACCUGCCCCGGACUCUGGAAUAAGCGCUGGAAACGGCGUCUAAUACCGGAUACGAGACGCAACCGCAUGGUUAGUGUCUGGAAAGUUUUUCGGUCUGGGAUGGACUCGCGGCCUAUCAGCUUGUUGGUGAGGUAAUGGCUCACCAAGGCGACGACGGGUAGCCGGCCUGAGAGGGCGACCGGCCACACUGGGACUGAGACACGGCCCAGACUCCUACGGGAGGCAGCAGUGGGGAAUAUUGCACAAUGGGCGAAAGCCUGAUGCAGCGACGCCGCGUGAGGGAUGACGGCCUUCGGGUUGUAAACCUCUUUCAGCAGGGAAGAAGCGAAAGUGACGGUACCUGCAGAAGAAGCACCGGCUAACUACGUGCCAGCAGCCGCGGUAAUACGUAGGGUGCGAGCGUUGUCCGGAAUUAUUGGGCGUAAAGAGCUUGUAGGCGGUUUGUCGCGUCUGCUGUGAAAAUCCGGGGCUCAACCCCGGACUUGCAGUGGGUACGGGCAGACUAGAGUGUGGUAGGGGAGACUGGAAUUCCUGGUGUAGCGGUGAAAUGCGCAGAUAUCAGGAGGAACACCGAUGGCGAAGGCAGGUCUCUGGGCCACUACUGACGCUGAGAAGCGAAAGCAUGGGGGAGCGAACAGG
rnacentral:rRNA from 1 species